GACGUAGGGCGCGAGCGUUGUCCGGAUUUAUUGGGCGUAAAGAGCUCGUAGGCGGCUUGUUGCGUCAGCUGUGAAAACCCGCAGCUCAACUGUGGGCUUGCAGCUGAUACGGGCAGGCUUGAGUUCGGUAGGGGAGACUGGAAUUCCUGGUGUAGCGGUGAAAUGCGCAGAUAUCUGGAGGAACACCGGUGGCGAAAGCGGCUCACUGGACCCGAUCUGACACUGAUGUGCGAAAGCUAGGGUAGCAAACGGG
rnacentral:rRNA from 1 species